rnacentral:lncRNA from 1 species
CCCCGAUGCAACCGGUCUCUCGGGACCGGUCUCUCACCCAGGGACCGGUUCCCGAGAGCUCGAUUUCCAGGACUUAGCCGAUUUUUCCCUCUGCUCGGCAGAUACGCUUUCGGGGACCGGUCUCUCCCUUCAGGGACCGAUCCCCGAGAGCCCAAAAUCUGGGACUUAGCCAGAUUUUGCAAUUUCACUCUCUCGGGUCCCUUUAACAUUUAUAUAGGUUCCAAUGCACUUUUAGCCUAUAGUAACUCAUUCCUUUCCGCGUUCCGCACAUUUCGAUGGAACUCGGCACGACUCAUGGGGAAUUGCUAUGUUACAACCGGUACCCAAUAUUGAGUUCUUCAAAACUUGAGAGCAACAAUUCUGCAAAUUGAAUUGUGAACCAGUACCAAAUUUUAGUACCGGUAUUACAUCGUUCGAGUAUUCAGCAUUAGAAAACUCUUGUUGUGUCAUGGUGGACCGGUACCCACAUCCGAGUACUGGCACUCAAAUUAUAGGUUUCUUAAUAUGACUCUAAUCCAACUCUAAAUGAUUCUAAAGUCUAUAAAUACAAUGUUAGGUGUCACGCACCGUAACCACCAAUUUGGUCUGUUCGGGUACGUCCACAGACGCCGAACGGACAGAACCUCCCCUGUCCGCGCAAGGCUCCACCCACACAUGUAUAGCAAUUCAUACAAUGAGAAUUCAAGUAUACAUGGCUUGCACGAGGGCAAACAAUAACCACAGCAAGUGAAAGUUCUAC